rnacentral:rRNA from 1 species
UUUAAGGCUGAGACACGACGUCGAGCACCUACGGGUGUGAAGUCAUUGAUGCCAUGCUUCCAGGAAAAGCCUCUAAGCUUCAGAUUGUAAGGAAUCGUACCCCCAAACGACACAGGUGGUCGGGUAGAGAAUACCAAGGCGCUUGAGAGAACUCGGGUGAAGGAACUAGGCAAAAUGGUACCGUAACUUCGGGAGAAGGUACGCUCUUGAUGGUGAAGUCCCUUGCG